rnacentral:tRNA from 1 species
GGGGUUGUGGCUCAGCGGUAGAGCACUCGCUUCCCAAGUGUGAGACCAUAGGUUCGAUUCUCAGCACCA